rnacentral:pre_miRNA from 1 species
GGGGGGAGGCUGGAUCCUGGGCUGUGUCCCAGCGCACUGUACUCCGGGUCAGCGCUGUUGGAUUCGCGCUCCCGCCCCGCAGCCCCCU